rnacentral:rRNA from 1 species
CUUGGUCAUUUAGAGGAAGUAAAAGUCGUAACAAGGUCUCCGUUGGUGAACCAGCGGAGGGAUCAUUACCGAGUUUACAACUCCCAAACCCAAUGUGAACGUUACCAAACUGUUGCCUCGGCGGGAUCUCUGCCCCGGGUGCGUCGCAGCCCCGGACCAAGGCGCCCGCCGGAGGACCAACCAAAACUCUUUUGUAUACCCCCUCGCGGGUUUUUAUAUCUGAGCCAUCUCGGCGCCUCUCGUAGGCGUUUCGAAAAUGAAUCAAAACUUUCAACAACGGAUCUCUUGGUUCUGGCAUCGAUGAAGAACGCAGCGAAAUGCGAUAAGUAAUGUGAAUUGCAGAAUUCAGUGAAUCAUCGAAUCUUUGAACGCACAUUGCGCCCCUUGGUAUUCCGAGGGGCAUGCCUGUUCGAGCGUCAUCUGAACCCUCAAGCCCCCCGGUGUUGCCCUGCCUCUGGCUCGGGCUCCACCUGGCUUGGUGUUGGGCGUCUGUCCCCACUGGCGUGGACUCGCUCCAAAUGCAUUGGCAGCGGCCUCCCGGCUCCUCGCGCAGCACACCGCGCAGAGGGACCCGGGUCGGCGCGCGUCCAGCAAGCAUCUCCCAAGUUUGACCUCGGAUCAGGUAGGGAUACCCGCUGAACUUAAGCAUAUCAAUAAGCGGAGGA